rnacentral:rRNA from 1 species
UGCGUAGGAAGCUACCCGACAGAGGGGGAUACCAGUUGGAAACGACUGUUAAUACCGCAUAAUGUCUACGGACCAAAGUGUGGGACCUUCGGGCCACAUGCUGUCGGAUGCGCCUACGUGGGAUUAGCUAGUUGGUGAGGUAAUGGCUCACCAAGGCGACGAUCCCUAGCUGGUUUGAGAGGAUGAUCAGCCACACUGGAACUGAGACACGGUCCAGACUCCUACGGGAGGCAGCAGUGGGGAAUAUUGGACAAUGGGCGAAAGCCUGAUCCAGCCAUGCCGCGUGUGUGAAGAAGGCCUUCGGGUUGUAAAGCACUUUCAGUAGGGAGGAAGAGUUGAGUGUUAAUAGUACUCAGCUUUGACGUUACCUACAGAAGAAGCACCGGCUAACUCUGUGCCAGCAGCCGCGGUAAUACAGAGGGUGCAAGCGUUAAUCGGAAUUACUGGGCGUAAAGCGCACGCAGGCGGUUGGUUAAGUCAGAUGUGAAAGCCCCGGGCUCAACCUGGGAAUUGCAUUUGAAACUGGCCAACUAGAGUACGUGAGAGGGGGGUAGAAUUCCAAGUGUAGCGGUGAAAUGCGUAGAGAUUUGGAGGAAUACCAG